rnacentral:rRNA from 1 species
ACCCGCUGAACUUAAGCAUAUCACUAAGCGGAGGAAAAGAAAUUAACUAAGAUUGCCUCAGUAACGGCGAGUGAAGCGGCAAGAGCCCAAGCUGGAAAUCUUCACACUGCGUGUGACGAAUUGUAAUCUAAAGAGGGUUCGCUCAACGGGCGGUGGCGCAGAAGUGCCUUAGAACGGGCCGCCAGAGAGGGUGACAGCCCCGUAUGUGGUGCCACUGCCUAACGAGCGGGUCCCCGAAGAGUCGGGUUGUUUUGUAUUGCAGCCCUAAGUGGGAGAUAAACUUCUUCUAAGGCUAAAUACCUAUGGGAAACCGAUAGCGAACAAGUACUGUGAAGGAAAGAUGAAAAGAACUUUGAAAAGAGAGUCAAAAGACUUGAAAUCGUUGAGAAGGAAGCGGUAGAAAUUUAUUCUUCGGCGGUGAACGGUGACUGCUGCCUAUCCAUUGCCGGCUGCCAGCACUUCAUAAGGCUGCGGUCGGCACAUGGGGAAGCGGCUGUCUUGUUCUCCGUCGUGAGGCAAAAUGAGGUCGCACAUCCGCAGAGGCUUCCCAAACCUGGCCCGAUUCGUCGGGUAGUUUGGGUUUGCCGGUGGGCGUGUGGCCUGAGGGUGCUUCGUGCGAUUUUGCCAAAAUGGUUUU